rnacentral:rRNA from 1 species
CCUACGGGUGGCUGCAGUGGGGAAUAUUGCACAAUGGGGGGAACCCUGAUGCAGCGACGCCGCGUGGGUGAAGGAGUACUUCGGUACGUAAAGCCCUAUCAGCAGGAAAGAAAAUGACGGUACCUGACUAAGAAGCCCCGGCUAACUACGUGCCAGCAGCCGCGGUAAUACGUAGGGGGCAAGCGUUAUCCGGAUUUACUGGGUGUAAAGGGAGCGUAGACGGCAAGGCAAGUCUGGAGUGAAAGCCCGUGGCCCAACCACGGGACUGCUUUGGAAACUGGGUUGCUGGAGUGCAGGAGGGGUAAGCGGAAUUCCUAGUGUAGCGGUGAAAUGCGUAGAUAUUAGGAGGAACACCGGUGGCGAAGGCGGCUUACUGGACUGUAACUGACGUUGAGGCUCGAAGGCGUGGGGAGCAAACAGGAUUAGAUACCCGGGUAGUC